rnacentral:rRNA from 1 species
UACGUAGGGACCAAGCGUUGUUCGGAUUUACUGGGCGUAAAGGGCGCGUAGGCGGCGUGACAAGUCACUUGUGAAAUCUCUGAGCUUAACUCAGAACGGCCAAGUGAAACUGUUGUGCUAGAGUGCGGAAGGGGCAAUCGGAAUUCUUGGUGUAGCGGUGAAAUGCGUAGAUAUCAAGAGGAACACCUGAGGUGAAGACGGGUUGCUGGGCCGACACUGACGCUGAUGCGCGAAAGCCCAGGGGAGCAAACGGG